rnacentral:lncRNA from 10 species
CAGCCCACGACAGACUCUCAGUAACGGUAGCUAUUGUGACAUUUCUAUAUGUGGUAUAUGUGGCUGAGAUCAUGUGAUUGUGGGGGAGCAUUGCAGCCAUUUGGUGAGUAUGAGAUUUUUAAUGAUGGCUGAUCACAUGUAGAAACUUGGAUCUACUGGUAAAUGUCACUGUCACCCAGAGCAAGGCAGUACUUGAAGUCUUUGCUGUGACAUGUUAAGGGGGGGGAGAGGCUGUGACUGAGAUUGGAUGUGACAGCAAGACAGAUCCUGAGUGACAGAAUGGAACGGAGUGGAGGGAGGCAGACUGCACCAGGCAAAGGUGUGUCCCCAACAGGAGCUGCCUGGGAGUUCAGAUGUCAGGGCAGGUGUCUGUCUCUACUGUCCCCUCCCCAACAGACUUCCCUCCCUACUUUCUGAAAGCAAGGAGGAAAGGAGGGAGCUUUCCCUUCAGAAAGGAGAUUUUGAUCAGAGUGUAG